AUACGGAGGGUGCAAGCGUUAUUCGGAAUCACUGGGCGUAAAGGACGCGUAGGCGGGUUGGCAAGUCAGAUGUGAAAUCCUACGGCUUAACUGUAGAACUGCAUUUGAAACUGCUAACCUAGAGUAUGGGAGGGGGAGAUGGAAUUAGUGGUGUAGGGGUAAAAUCCGUAGAUAUCACUAGGAAUACCGAAAGCGAAGGCGAUCUCCUGGAACAUAACUGACGCUAAGGCGUGAAAGCGUGGGGAGCAAACAGGAUUAGAUACCCUAGUAGUCC
rnacentral:rRNA from 1 species